AUGGAGAUCAUGCUGGGCCAAAGGCACCUCAGGGAGAGCAACAGCCUGUGGCCCGGCUCUCCAGAGUCCCUUUAUAGGGGGCCCUGGUGGCUCCUGGAGGUUCCUCUGAAAAGGCGAAGGGGGCCUGGGGAGGCUGCAACAGCCUCAAGCUACAGCCCUGCUCAAAGACUUCAGAGCUUUCCCCAGAGCCCCUGCCUAGAAUGGGGGCUGCCUGUCCUUCCCUCUCCAGAGCUAGCUGAGCAGCGGGCCUCCAGCUUUGGCUCUGAGCUCUGUGGCAAAGGCCCCGGGGCGCCUCCUGAGACAGGCCCAAACUUUCGGGUGGCCCCCCCACACCCCCUUUGUGGCCAGGGGCUGGAGAGGGCCUUCCUCCGGGGUGCUGCCCCCUUCUUCCUUGUCCUGCCUUGCAUGGGACCCGGGGAAUGCUGCCAGCUGGCCCCCCCUGACCCUCCUGACCCAUGCAUGAGGUCACAACGGGGGCCUCCUGGCUGUGUUACGCCUGGGAGGCUGCCCCUUCUUAGCUCAGCUGUCCCAGAGAGCCAUAGCCAGUCUGCCCUCCCCACAGAGAGUAUCCUGGCCCUCCUCCAGCAGCCCCCUCCACCCCCACCCCAGAGCCCUGAUCUUCAGGCGCACCGACACUCCCUGAGCCCAAUGAAACCCCGGAAACCCUCACCAGGUGGGGCCCCAGCCUGGGGGGCUGCAGGGCUGCAGGGGAGCCCCCGGGGGCCGGCCAGCCCCCAGCUCCGGCCUGCUUCCUCCCUGCUCGCAGUUGUCCAGCCCGGAGAGCUCCACCUGCCGGAAGAGGAAGUGGAAGCGGAACUGUCGUUCCCGCUGUGCUUCCCCAAGCCUGGCCCUCUACAGAGAGCCAUGGCGGAGGGCAACUACCCGCCCCUACCCGCCCCUCGGGCCCCUCACGGCCAUGUUCGAGAGCGACUUUGUGCAGGACGAGAGCGCCCCGAUGUCCGCAGCGGAGGCCCCCCCCAAACGGAAGGAGGUGGCCUUCCCUCCCCAGUACCCAUCCCAAGGACCAAGGGGAGCCCGGCCUGGACCGGGGACAAAGCACUGCACUACCCGGGGCCGCUCUCCCAAGUGAUUGACCAGCAGAGCGCCCCGGCCCUCCCGGAAGUGAAGUCGGAAGUGAUGUCGAGAGCGGAAGCCGCCCACAUGCCCUUUGGUCCCAGCAGAAGCUCCCAGUCAGGAGAGAAGAGGAGCGGAAGCUGCCGCACCAUUGGAGACGUCCUCUUCAGGGCCCUCCAGGCCACCCUCCCAAGAGCACCCCCAGGAGCGGGGCACUGCCAACAAGCUGCCGCUUCCCCAAGAGCAGCCGCAGCCCCAAGAACUCCCCCAAGACCAGCCGCAGCCCUAAGAGCUCCCCCAAGACCAGCUGCAGCCCCAAGAGCUCUCCCAAGACCAGCCGCAGCCCCAAGAGCUCCCCCAAGACCAGCCGCAGCCCCAAGAGCUCCCCCAAGACCAGCCGCAGCCCCAAGAGCUCUCCCAAGACCAGCCGCAGCCCCAAGAGCUCCCCCAAGACCAGCCGCAGCCCCAAGAGCUCCCCCAAGACCAGCCGCAGCCCCAAGAGCUCUCCCAAGACCAGCCGCAGCCCCAAGAGCUCUCCCAAGACCAGCUGCAGCCCCAGGAGCUCCCCCAAGACCAGCCGCAGCCCCAACAGCUCCCCCAAGACCAGCCGCAGCCCCAAGAGCUCCCCCAAGACCAGCCGCAGCCCCAACAGCUCCCCCAAGACCAGCUGCAGCCCCAAGAGGGCCCCCAAGAGAGGCGCCAUUCCAAGGGCCACCGCCAUUCAAAAAAGUGGCAGCUUCCCCAAGAGCAGCCAAAGCCCCAAAAGCUCCCCCAAAAGCAGCCACACUCCCGAAGGCGGUGCGAAUGCAAAGAGGCACAGCAGCCACAGCCCCAAGAGCAGCACCCAGCUAAGGAGCGUGACUCCUCAGGGGAGCCCAGAACCCUGGCAGCAUAUGUAUUAAAAAAGUUAGAGGCCUGGGAUGCCAGGCAUCACAGGUGGGUCCUCUGCCAGCCUGGGGAAGCAGCUUCGGCCUGGUCCUGGGUCGCCACAGAGCAGCCCAAGGACAACCCGAGGGACGGUCCGGAGCCCACCCAGGCCUCACAGCCCUCCGCCAGUUUCAAGGCUCUGAGGAAGGCUAUCCAGAAGCCACCGAGCUGGCUCACCAGAGCAUGGCAACAGUGUAAGAAGGUGGUCUGCACCUGUACCAAGGGCUCCAACUAAUCCCCUGCCCAAACCACCUAGCCCACUGCAUUAGAUUUUUUUUUAAUUUUUUUAAAAUAUAUUUUAUUUGAUCAUUUCCAAGCAUUAUUCGUUAAAGACAUAGAUCAUUUUCUUUUCCUCCCCCCCACCCCCAUAGCCGACGCGUAAGUCCACUGGUUAUUACAUGUUUUCUUGAUUUGAACCCAUUUCCAUGUUGAUAAUAUUUGCAUUGGAGUGUUCCUUUAGAUUCUCUCCUCUGUCAUGUCCCCUCAACCGCUGUAUUCAGGCAGUUGCUUUUCCUCGGUGUUUCCACUCCCAUAGUUUAUCCUUUGCUUAUGAAUAGUGUUUUUUUCUCCUGGAUCCUGCAUAUUGUUCAGGGACAUUACACCGCCACUAAUGGAGAAGUUCAUUACAUUCGAUUAUACCACAGUGUAUUAGUCUCUGUGUACAAUGUUCUCCUGGUUCUGCUCCUCUCGCUCUACAUCGCUUCCUGGAGGUUGUUCCAGUCUCCAUGGAAUUCCUCCACUUUAUUAUUCCUUUUAGCACAAUAGUAUUCCAUCACCAACAUAUACCACAAUUUGCUCAGCCAUUCCCCGAUUGAUGGGCAUCCCCUCGUUUUCCAGUUUUGGGCCACCACAAAGAGCGCAGCUAUGAAUAUUUUUGUACAAGUCUUUGUGUCCAUUAUCUCUUUGGGGUACAGACCCAGCAGUG
ensembl:lncRNA